CCUCCUUAAUUCUCCCUCAGGCCUCAUCUCCCUUCCCCUUAUUGGCUUCCGCCGUCACCUGGUUUCACCGUUGCAGAGUUCCAAUGAGAGACGUCAUGGCUAGAUUACUACCGGCGCUUAUGCCUUCUUUGGUUGUGGUGGGAAUCAAUGAAGCCCACAACGUUACGGUAUCCAUAUUGGAGAUUGCUCUUACUCUUGCCAAAGGAGCAGUUUGCUUGGAUGGCAUCCCUCCGUCCCAAAUAUUUGGAGACGGAAGCGACAACUGGCAUGUGUUUAGAGAGCCAGCAAUGUCACCAUCUCUCUGUUGGAGUAGGCUAUAGCCAAAGGAGCGGACGAUAGCACAAGCCGUGGGCGAUAAGUACUUUGACCAGAGCGGAUUCCAGGAGAUGGACAUGCUCAACGACUUGACACGGACCUGCACAACCAACGACGACAAGCUACUUUUGAGAAAAAAAAUGUAUCGAUAAUAUGCAACAUAAGCAACCAUAAAUUGAUAUCCUUUGAAGUUGAAUUUCUACAUUUAGUUAACUAAUGAAGGGUAAGUUUUUGGUUUAAUCUUUAUUCUUAGUAUAGCUACAGAUAUGUGACUAAGUUGUGUAGACUGAUACUUCUAUAAUUAUUUUAAACUCAUUUAAUAAGCGUAUAUCAUGGAUACAAAUUUGUUAUUGUAUUAGUCGUCAAAUUAUACGAGAUUAAUUAGUGAAAAACAAUGUCUUUUUAUCUUAUGGUCUAUGUUUCA